rnacentral:rRNA from 1 species
ACUCCUACGGGAGGCAGCAGGGUUAUUCCUAGGGGAGGCAGCAGUGGGGAAUCUUGGACAAUGGGGGAAACCCUGAUCCACCCAUGCCGCGUGAGUGAUGAAGCCCUAGGGUGUAAGGCUCUUUCGCCGGGAAGAUAAUGACGGACCUCAUAAAAGCCCCGGUAACUCCGUGCCAGCAGCCGCGGUAAUUAUCCGUGCCAGCAGCCGCGGUAAU